UGAGGAGGAAAAGCAUAUUCUCUGUAAACCGCACGUUUAGAGCUGCAGCUUCUCCCACAGCCGAAAAGCAAAACGACUCUUGCGGGUGAUCUCUCUUAGGAUUGAGACCUGAAUUACUAUUCGGAAACGCUAAUUGCAAACGUUGGGAAGAAUCCUUAUACAGUGGUACCUCGGUUUACGAACUUAAUCCGUUCCAGAAGUCCAUUCUUAAACUGAAACCGUUCUUAAACUGAAAUGCACUUUCCCUAAUGAGGCCUCCUGCCGCUGGUGCCCUUCCACCGUUUGGAUUGCAUUCUUAGACCAAGGUAAAGUUCUCAAACCAAGACACUAUUUCUGGUUUUGAGGAGUUUGUAAACCAAAUUGUUCUUAAACCGGUCUGUUCUUAAACCGAAGUACCACUGUAAUCUGCUUGCUUGUACUAAAUAAACAGAAGAAGAGUGUAUAUUCAAGAUCUCUUAAUAAUUAAGGAAUAGCUAUAAUUGCUGCUUAGUGAUUCAGAGGGUUUAAUGAAAAUGGCCAAUAAUUCAUUGGUGUACUGGACUUUCAUUCAUCAACAGUUUUGUCGAUGAUCUAAAAGUGAAAAAUAAUUGAAGAGUGCCCUCUUCUGUUUAUUGCAUGAAUCACAAGUUUUGAAGCGGGACUGUUCCUGAACUUUGCGACUGCAGUGUAACAAGAAUGUGAAAUAUAUGUAUCUGAAGAAGUGUGCAUGCACACGAAAGCUUAUACCAAGAACAAAUUUAGUUGGUCUCUAAGGUGCUACUGGACAAUUUUUUUAUAUCUUGUGAUGCACAAGAUGCACUUUAUUGAUGCACAAAGCAGAGACGUUGAUAGGUGUAUACAAAUUCUGAGGUAUAUUGAAGGAUAAGUAAAAUUAACAAGGAGAGAAAGAAGUAUAUUCAAAAUAAACAGCUGUUUGAGAUAUAAAUUUGAUGGUGAUGAUGCAAUGAAUCCAAUACAGCACACAGAGCAACCACGCCUGUGCUUGCAGAUCCCUUUUAAGAAACAAUCAAUCACAUGUUUAGCAGGAGUGUUUUAGUAGAAACACUACUCCUUUACUAGCCAAUCAGUGGGAUCUUAGCCAUUUUCUUUCUUGUUAGCUUUACCAAAGUAUUAUUUGCAAAUCAUAUCAUAAAUGUUGCAGGGGAGAAGGCCAUGCACAUGUAUCCCAGCAUAGCUAUAUCUUAAAUGUCCAAAAUGCCUGUUCGAUCAUAAGUAAAGAUUGGCAUGUCUGGUUGUAGUGUGUCAUGUGGCCUGGCACAUCCAUUGUGCCAGGGCCUCAGCAGGAUGGGCUUCAGCAGGUGUUCACAGAUGUAUGAAAGAGAUAGCACAAUGGUCCUGCUCUGAGUGACUGCGCAGUUUGUGAGUUUGGACCUGUCAUGCCUAAAAUCAGGUGAAGUCAAACCAAAGUCAUGUUUUUGUCUGCCAUGUUGAUUCAAAAUGGCACAUGGUGUUAAAAAAUCAACAAAGAUGGUUGCCCACACUUCAGAAACCCUCAUUCUGAGUUUGGCGAAACUAUGCCAAAAAAUGGACAAAGUCACGUUACCAUCUGCCAUCUUGAUUCAAGAUGGCAUUGGCAUCCAAAUGUCAAUGAAAAUUGCUACUCCCACCUUGGGAAUCAUUGUGCUCAGUUUGGCAAUGACAUAGGUUCUCAAGAACCUAUAGAAAACAGGUGGAUGAACGGACAAAGUAUUUUCCAAAACAUACAGUAGAUAAAGUGAUCUGUCAAGUCACUUGAACUUGGCCCAAUAGGAGAUAGACAGCCAGUGUAAAUACCGCAAUAAAGGUUUUAUAUGCAGAUGGUACUUUGCCCCCACAAGUAACCUAGCUGCUGCAUUCUGCUAGUAUUUCUGACCUCUGCUUGGCUUCAGCGCUUUCUGCCAGUUGUGGCCCCUCCCAGUCACCACUGAGCAAGAUUUGGAUGCAGCAUUGUUUGCACUGCCAGAUUGUCAGCAGCCACACAAAAUGUGGUUAACCAUAGUUUGGAUUGCUGUGCUCAUGGAGAAGUGAAAUAGGCAUUACUAAUUGAAUAUAUACAAACUAAGGCCUCCAGUGUAACUACAUACAUGGGGGGGGGAAAGAAAAUGGACAUAGCAGGAGGCUCAAGGCAAACUUGCUAUCAGCAAUGCAAACCAGAACUACGGAAAAAGGGACGUGGAUCAUAAUCCCACAGUUCAUCUGCGAUCUUGGGGGCAGGCGGGGAACACAGCUUGUUUCUUCUAUAUGACUUACUGGAUAGUAAUGAACACUUCAUGUUCUCUCUCAUGUGCAAUAACCUGUAUUACCCUCUGGGGGGCAAUCUCUUUAAACAUCACAUUUGCUUAAUCUUUCAAUCUGAAACUCUAUCAAGCAGCAAGAUGGGAUAAACCUAGAUAAAAUGCCAGUUAAAAAUUAAUAUUCCUAAAUCAUUCAGUAAUGGCAGAAUACAGAUGUUUCUGCAACAAAUGCACACAGCCUUCCCUUUUAUGUGAACAUGAGUCAUUCAUUAUUAAAAAGAAUGGGGGAAAGUCUUCUUAUGAAAGCCAAAGAAACAUAUAAUCCAGUCAAUCUCGUAACCCCCUCCACAAAUUAAAAUCUAAAUAAUCUCAUUUUUUUCACAUUUCAUUUUUUAUGUCCUCCCUACCCCCACACCUCUCAUCAUUAAUUCAGCAAAUACUCUUAAAUCCUAGGAUCUAACUGUCCAUAUGGCAAAGUGAAAAGAUGUAAAUAUGAAAGAAAAUGUUGUUGUAACCCAGAUAAAUUAAAAAGAAUGUGAAAUUA